GCGUGCCUGGAUCAGGGCUCUAGUUUAGGAAAGCUGACACACAGAAUGGGGACAUCUGGUACUCUGGUUGGUCAUUGUCACUGAAGCCUUUGGAUGUCUACAUUAUUCUGAACACACACAGCCUUCAAAGGCUGCCCCCUCCUCCCUGCUAAGAGCUUGUGUCUCCCACCACUUAGGAAAGAUACCGCGGAGGUCCUUCCUCAGGACCGGACAGCAGCGGCCUCCAGAUCUGGUUCGCUCCCUUCCUGGCUGCCAGAAGGAUCGUUCGGGCUAAACCACAGCAUAAUUCAGCCAGGAACAUGUGGGACCUUAAGCACCCAGCACGUUCCGUGGGAGCUAGGAAGUGUCCCAUCAAAGAAGCCAGAAUAUAAAAUUGGGCAACACAGACCAGCCUUUCUGCUUCUGCUACAAUAGGCACAGCAUCCCCGUCUUCGAAAAUCUGUCACACUUCCAGACACUCGGAUAACAAAUUCUCU
rnacentral:lncRNA from 1 species